rnacentral:rRNA from 1 species
AUUGAACGCUGGCGGCAGGCCUAACACAUGCAAGUCGAGCGGAUGAAGGGAGCUUGCUCCUGGAUUCAGCGGCGGACGGGUGAGUAAUGCCUAGGAAUCUGCCUGGUAGUGGGGGAUAACGUCCGGAAACGGGCGCUAAUACCGCCUACGUCCUGCGGGAGCAGGUGGGGGAGCUUCGGACCUCACGCUAUCAGAUGAGCCUAGGUCGGAGUAGCUAGUUGGUGGGGUAAGGGCCUACCAAGGCGACGAUCCGUAACUGGUCUGAGAGGAUGAUCAGUCACACUGGAACUGAGACACGGUCCAGACUCCUACGGGAGGCAGCAGUGGGGAAUAUUGGACAGUGGGCGAAAGCCUGAUCCAGCCAUGCCGCGUGUGUGAAGAAGGUCUUCGGAUUGGAAAGCACUUUAAGUGGGGAGGAAGGGCAGUAAGUUAAUACCUUGCUGUUUUGACGGUACCAACAGAAUAAGCACCGGCUAACUUCGUG